rnacentral:rRNA from 1 species
GACGAACGCUGGCGGCGUGCUUAACACAUGCAAGUCGAACGGAAAGGCCCUGCUUUUGUGGGGUGCUCGAGUGGCGAACGGGUGAGUAACACGUGAGUAACCUGCCCUUGACUUUGGGAUAACUUCAGGAAACUGGGGCUAAUACCGGAUAGGAGCUCCUGCUGCAUGGUGGGGGUUGGAAAGUUUCGGCGGUUGGGGAUGGACUCGCGGCUUAUCAGCUUGUUGGUGGGGUAGUGGCUUACCAAGGCUUUGACGGGUAGCCGGCCUGAGAGGGUGACCGGCCACAGUGGGACUGAGAUACGGCCCAGACUCCUACGGGAGGCAGCAGUGAGGAAUAUUGCACAAUGGGCGGAAGCCGGAUGCAGCAACGCCGCGUGCGGGAUGACGGCCUUCGGGUUGUAAACCGCUUUCGCCUGUGACGAAGCGUGAGUGACGGUAAUGGGUAGAGAAGCACCGGCUAACUACGUG